rnacentral:misc_RNA from 1 species
AAGUCGUAACAAGGUUUCCGUAGGUGAACCUGCGGAAGGAUCAGUAGAGAAAACUGGGUCUCACGACCCGAUCUACCCCACACACACCUGUGAACUGUUUAUAUGUCCUGACGGCCUUAACGGGUCCGACGGGCUACUUUACAAAACAUCUGUAACAAGUCUUGAACGUCAAUGUUAUAUCUUAACAAAAACAAAACUUUCAACAACGGAUCUCUUGGCUCCCACAUCG